rnacentral:rRNA from 1 species
GGGCGGCACAGAGGGAAGCCAGGUGGCGACACCGCGCGGAACCCGAAAGCCGUUCUCAGUUCGGAUCGGAGUCUGCAACCCGACUCCGUGAAGCUGGAUUCGCUAGUAAUCGCGCAUCAGCCAUGGCGCGGUGAAUACGUUCCCGGGCCUUGUACACACCGCCCGUCAAGCCAUGGGAGCCGGGGGUGCUUGAAGUGCGUCGCCGCAAGGCGCGCCCUAGAGCAAAACCGGUGACUGGGGCUAAGUCGUAACAAGGUAAC